CAUAAGCCUGAUGCCUACAAGGACACCCAUGAGUUCGCUCGCAGGGAGUGGAGUGUAUGUGUGUAGGGGAUGUGUUAUGUGUUACUGUAGAGGAUGUACAGAGGAUGUAGAGGAUGCAUUGUAUGUUUCAGUGUGUGUGUGAGUAGGGAUUAUGUUUCUGUGCAUGUGUGUUUCUGUGUAUGUGUAAGGAUGCAUUGUGUAUGUGUGUGGGGUAUGAUUAAGGCUGAGAGGGGAGCAGC